rnacentral:rRNA from 1 species
UGGGGAAUCUUGGACAAUGGGGGAAACCCUGAUCCAGCCAUCCCGCGUGUGCGAUGAAGGCCUUCGGGUUGUAAAGCACUUUUGGCAGGAAAGAAACGUCAUGGGUUAAUACCCCGUGAAACUGACGGUACCUGCAGAAUAAGCACCGGCUAACUACGUGCCAGCAGCCGCGGUAAUACGUAGGGUGCAAGCGUUAAUCGGAAUUACUGGGCGUAAAGCGUGCGCAGGCGGUUCGGAAAGAAAGAUGUGAAAUCCCAGAGCUCAACUUUGGAACUGCAUUUUUAACUACCGGGCUAGAGUGUGUCAGAGGGAGGUGGAAUUCCGCGUGUAGCAGUGAAAUGCGUAAAUAUGCGGAGGAACACCGAUGGCGAAGGCAGCCUCCUGGGAUAACACUGACGCUCAUGCACGAAAGCGUGGGGAGCAAACAGG